UGAGCUGACUGCGCCCCCUGCAGUUAAUCUCCAGAGUGUAGCGCAGAUGAGGAGCCAGGAGCUGCAGCAGGAGGACACAGAAAAACCUUCAGGAAAUAUAAAAGGCAUGGGCUAAUGGUGUCUGACCUUAUAUAUCGGGUGCACAGCAGGCAGCUGUCUCAGAGUGGCCACACAGAACACCUCGAUCACCAGCUUCCAAAAGAUCCGUUUGAAAUCGUCCAGGUCGCUCCAGGACUUUCCAAACCUGAUGGCCAGCUUCUUCAGAGACAACUCCA